rnacentral:sRNA from 1 species
GGAGACAUGGCUGCAGCAGUGGGUCCCUCGUUGUCUCCUUGUCUCUUCUCUAUAUUCUCUGUUCACUAGAAAAAUCCCCAGGAAAUCCCGCAAUCUUCUGUAAACUUGAUGAACUCUUUGUAACAUUCUGUAGCUUCUGUUGGUCGAGUAAAAUGAUGAUUUAAAUUU